GACGAACGCUGGCGGCGUGCCUAAUACAUGCAAGUAGAACGCUGAAGGAGGAGCUUGCUUCUCUGGAUGAGUUGCGAACGGGUGAGUAACGCGUAGGUAACCUGCCUGGUAGCGGGGGAUAACUAUUGGAAACGAUAGCUAAUACCGCAUAAUAGUAGAUGUCGCAUGACAUUUGCUUAAAAGGUGCAAUUGCAUCACUACCAGAUGGACCUGCGUUGUAUUAGCUAGUUGGUGAGGUAACGGCUCACCAAGGCAACGAUACAUAGCCGACCUGAGAGGGGGAUCGGCCACACUGGGACUGAGACACGGCCCAGACUCCUACGGGAGGCAGCAGUAGGGAAUCUUCGGCAAUGGACGGAAGUCUGACCGAGCAACGCCGCGUGAGUGAAGAAGGUUUUCGGAUCGUAAAGCUCUGUUGUAAGAGAAGAACGAGUGUGAGAGUGGAAAGUUCACACUGUGACGGUAUCUUACCAGAAAGGGACGGCUAACUACGUG
rnacentral:rRNA from 1 species